rnacentral:rRNA from 1 species
GUGCCAGCCGCCGCGGUAAUACCGGCAGCUCGAGUGAUGACCGCUUUUAUUGGGCCUAAAGCGUCCGUAGCCUGCCAGACGGGUCCGUCGGGAAAUCCACAUGCCUAACAUGUGGGCGUCCGGCGGAAACUAGCUGGCUUGGGACCGGAAGACCCAGAGGGUACGUCCGGGGUAGGAGUGAAAUCCUGUAAUCCUGGACGGACCGCCGGUGGCGAAAGCGCUCUGGGAAGACGGAUCCGACGGUGAGGGACGAAAGCUUGGGUCACGAACCGGAUUAGAAACCCGAGUAGUCC